UAGUUAAUAGGGAGUCUAGCUUCAAACCCACAUCUGACUGAAUCUAAUUCCACCUACAGCUUUGAAGGCUCGGAAAACAUAACUGCUCGAAAAACUGAGUUAACUCUAUGAGUGCCAGGACAAAAGCUUAGAAUUUGGAAAUGAAACAACGAAUAAGUAGAUAUUUUGCUCUCGUUUGUUAUUUUUUUACUUUAUUUUCCAAAUAUGUUUAGGUUAAAGAAAAGAACAUGGGAUUUAGAGUUAAAUAGGCGAGUGUUUUGAUUCUACCCUUGCUGACCCUGUGACCUUUGGACAGCCUACUUUGUCCAGUGGAGGCAGCCAUUCCAUUCCAACUGACGUUUGUGGGAUAUUAGAGACCAAGAAGUGUUAAGAGAUGAUCUUCACAAAGUGCUGAGCUUGUGAAAGAAGUUUUCAUUUGCAUCAAUAUGCUAGUCCAUGGAGUACGCAGAUUGUUCUACAAACCAUAUGGUGACUAAGCCUCAUUAUUGAAUGCAGUUGACAUGGAAACAACUAGUCAACAUCAAAUAAAUAGAUUAUUUUGUGCAAAUAGCUGCCUCUUUGUGACAAUAAUAAAUACUUUAUUUGUAUCAGG